GCUGGGUGUGGUGGCCCACACCUGUAGUCUCAGCUACUCGGGAGGCUGAGGCAGGAGAAUCACUUGAACCCAGGAGGUGGAGGUUGCAGUGAGCUGAGAUCGUGCCACUGCACUCCAGCCUGGGCAACAGAGUGAGACUCUGUCUCAA
ensembl:misc_RNA Metazoa_SRP Metazoan signal recognition particle RNA